rnacentral:rRNA from 1 species
UACGUAGGGGGCAAGCGUUGUCCGGAUUUAUUGGGCGUAAAGAGCGUGUAGGCGGCCACGUAGGUCUGCUGUGAAAACUCGAGGCUUAACCUCGAGGUGUCGGCGGAAACCAUGUGGCUAGAGUCCGGAAGAGGAGAAUGGAAUUCCCGGUGUAGCGGUGAAAUGCGCAGAUAUCGGGAAGAACACCCGUGGCGAAGGCGGUUCUCUGGGACGGUACUGACGCUGAGACGCGAAAGCGUGGGGAGCGAACAGG